CGGGUUCACGCCAUUCUCCUGCCUCAGCCUCCUGAUAGCUGGGACUACAGGUGCCCGCCACCACGCCCGGCUAAUUUUUUUGUAUUUUUAGUAGAGACGGGGUUUCGCCAUGUUAGCCAGGAUGGUCUCAAUCUGACCUCGUGAUCCGCCCACCUCGGCCUCCCAAAGUGGUGGGAUUACAGGUGUGAGCCACCUCCCCGGCUGGUGCUACACACUUUUAAAUGACCGGAUCUGUGAACUCAGAGCAAGAGCUCUCCUAUCACCAAAGGAAUGGCUCAAGCCAUUCAUGAAGAUCUGCCCCCACGAUCCAAACACUUCCCACUAGGCCCCAUCUCCAGCACUGAGGAUUCCAUCUCAACAUGACAUCUGAAUGGAGUCUUGCUCUGUCACCCAGGCUGGAGUGUGGUGGCUCAACCUUGGCUCACUGCAAGCUCCACCUCCCGGGUUCACGCCAUUCUUCUGCCUCAGCCUCCUGAGUAGCUAGGACUACAGGUGCCUGCCACCAUGCCCAGCUAAUUUUUUGUACUUUUAGUAGAGACAGGGUUUCACGUGUUAGCCAGGAUGGUCUCGAUCUCCUGACCUCAUGAUCCACCCGCCUCAGCCUCCUAAAGUGCUGGGAUUACAUGUGUGAGCCACCGUGCCUGGACAAUUGUUUUUGUUUGUUUGUUUGUUUGAAUUUUGUCUCUGUUUUAGUCUGUUUUCCCAUGUCUGUAAAGAAGUGCUCAAGACUGAGUAAUUUAUGAAUAAAAGAGGUUUAAUUCAAUCACAGUUCUGUAUGGCUGAGGAGGCCUCAGAAAACCUACAUUCAUGGUGAAAGGGGAAGCAGGCACCUCUUAAACUGCAGCAGGCCAGAGAACACGUUUAAGAAGCAAAGGGGGAAGAGCCACUUAUAAAACAAUCAGAUCUCGUGGGAACUCACUCACUGUCACAAGAACAGCAUGGAAAAAACCACCCCAUAAUCAAAUCGCCUCCCACCAGGUCCCUCCGUCAACACCUGGGAAUUACAAAUCAAGAUGAGAUUUGGAUGGGGACACAAAGCCAAACCAUAUUAUUCUGCCCAGGCUCCACCCAAAUCUCAUGUCUGAAACCAAUUGUGCCUUCCCAACAGUACCCCAAUUCUUAACUCUUUCCAGCGUUAACAGAAAAGUCUAAGUCUAAAGUCUCACCUGAGUCAAGGUAAGUCCCUUCCAUCUAGGAGCCUGUAAAAUCAAAAGCAGUUUAUGUACUUCCAAGAUACAACAGAGGUAUAGGCAUUGAAUAAAUGCUCCCCUUGCAAAUGGA
rnacentral:lncRNA from 1 species